rnacentral:rRNA from 1 species
GGUUAAGUGACUAAGCGUACACGGUGGAUGCCUAGGCAGUCAGAGGCGAUGAAGGACGUGCUAAUCUGCGAUAAGCGUCGGUGAGCUGAUAUGAAGCAUUAUUAGCCGGCGAUGUCCGAAUGGGGAAACCCAGUGCAAUUCGUUGCACUAUCGUUAAGUGAAUCCAUAGCUUAACGAGGCGAACCAGGGGAACUGAAACAUCUAAGUACCCUGAGGAAAAGAAAUCAACCGAGAUUCCCCUAGUAGCGGCGAGCGAACGGGGAGCAGCCCAGAACCUGAAUCAGUUUGUGCAUUAGUGGAAGCGUCUGGAAAGUCGCGCGAUACCGGGUGAUAGCCCCGUACACGAAGGUGCACAGCUGUGAGUUCGAUGAGUAGGGCGGGACACGUGUUAUCCUGUCUGAAUAUGGGGGGACCAUCCUCCAAGGCUAAAUACUCCUGACUGACCGAUAGUGAACCAGUACCGUGAGGGAAAGGCGAAAAGAACCCCGGCGAGGGGAGUGAAAUAGAACCUGAAACCGUGUACGUACAAGCAGUGGGAGCACCCUUUGGGGUGUGACUGCGUACCUUUUGUAUAAUGGGUCAGCGACUUAUAUUUUGUAGCAAGGUUAACCGAAUAGGGGAGCCGUAGGGAAACCGAGUCUUAACUGGGCGUUGAGUUGCAAGGUAUAGACCCGAAACCCGGUGAUCUAGCCAUGGGCAGGUUGAAGGUUGGGUAACACUAACUGGAGGACCGAACCGACUAAUGUUGAAAAAUUAGCGGAUGACUUGUGGCUGGGGGUGAAAGGCCAAUCAAACCGGGAGAUAGCUGGUUCUCCCCGAAAGCUAUUUAGGUAGCGCCUCGUGAACUCAUCUUCGGGGGUAGAGCACUGUUUCGGCUAGGGGGUCAUCCCGACUUACCAACCCGAUGCAAACUGCGAAUACCGAAGAAUGUUAUCACGGGAGACACACGGCGGGUGCUAACGUCCGUCGUGAAGAGGGAAACAACCCAGACCGCCAGCUAAGGUCCCAAAGUCAUGGUUAAGUGGGAAACGAUGUGGGAAGGCAUAGACAGCCAGGAUGUUGGCUUAGAAGCAGCCAUCAUUUAAAGAAAGCGUAAUAGCUCACUGGUCGAGUCGGCCUGCGCGGAAGAUGUAACGGGGCUAAACCAUGCACCGAAGCUGCGGCAGCGACACUAUGUGUUGUUGGGUAGGGGAGCGUUCUGUAAGCCUGUGAAGGUGACCUGUGAGGGUUGCUGGAGGUAUCAGAAGUGCGAAUGCUGACAUAAGUAACGAUAAAGCGGGUGAAAAGCCCGCUCGCCGGAAGACCAAGGGUUCCUGUCCAACGUUAAUCGGGGCAGGGUAAGUCGACCCCUAAGGCGAGGCCGAAAGGCGUAGUCGAUGGGAAACAGGUUAAUAUUCCUGUACUUGGUGUUAUUGCGAAGGGGGGACGGAGAAGGCUAGGCCGGCCGGGCGACGGUUGUCCCGGUUUAAGCGUGUAGGUGUGAUGACCUGGCAAAUCCGGUCAUCUUCAACACUGAGGCGUGAUGACGAGGCACUACGGUGCUGAAGUGGUUGAUGCCCUGCUUCCAGGAAAAGCCUCUAAGCUCUAGAUAACAUUGAAUCGUACCCCAAACCGACACAGGUGGUCAGGUAGAGAAUACCAAGGCGCUUGAGAGAACUCGGGUGAAGGAACUAGGCAAAAUGGUGCCGUAACUUCGGGAGAAGGCACGCUGGCAUGUAGGUGAAGUCCCUCGCGGAUGGAGCUGAAGCCAGUCGAAGAUACCAGCUGGCUGCAACUGUUUAAUAAAAACACAGCACUCUGCAAACACGAAAGUGGACGUAUAGGGUGUGACGCCUGCCCGGUGCUGGAAGGUUAAUUGAUGGGGUCAGCCGCAAGGCGAAGCUCUUGAUCGAAGCCCCAGUAAACGGCGGCCGUAACUAUAACGGUCCUAAGGUAGCGAAAUUCCUUGUCGGGUAAGUUCCGACCUGCACGAAUGGCGUAAUGAUGGCCAGGCUGUCUCCACCCGAGACUCAGUGAAAUUGAACUCGCUGUGAAGAUGCAGUGUACCCGCGGCAAGACGGAAAGACCCCGUGAACCUUUACUAUAGCUUGACACUGAACAUUGAACCUUGAUGUGUAGGAUAGGUGGGAGGCUUUGAAGUGUGGACGCCAGUCUGCAUGGAGCCGACCUUGAAAUACCACCCUUUAAUGUUUGAUGUUCUAACCUGGUCCCGUAAUCCGGGAUAGGGACAGUGUCUGGUGGGUAGUUUGACUGGGGCGGUCUCCUCCCAAAGCGUAACGGAGGAGCACGAAGGUUAGCUAAUCCUGGUCGGACAUCAGGAGGUUAGUGCAAAGGCAUAAGCUAGCUUGACUGCGAGAGUGACGGCUCGAGCAGGUGCGAAAGCAGGUCUUAGUGAUCCGGUGGUUCUGAAUGGAAGGGCCAUCGCUCAACGGAUAAAAGGUACUCCGGGGAUAACAGGCUGAUACCGCCCAAGAGUUCAUAUCGACGGCGGUGUUUGGCACCUCGAUGUCGGCUCAUCACAUCCUGGGGCUGAAGUAGGUCCCAAGGGUAUGGCUGUUCGCCAUUUAAAGUGGUACGCGAGCUGGGUUUAGAACGUCGUGAGACAGUUCGGUCCCUAUCUGCCGUGGGCGUUGGAAGAUUGAGAGGGGCUGCUCCUAGUACGAGAGGACCGGAGUGGACGCACCGCUGGUGUUCGGGUUGUGAUGCCAAUUGCAUUGCCCGGUAGCUACGUGCGGAAGAGAUAAGCGCUGAAAGCAUCUAAGCGCGAAACUUGCCUCGAGAUGAGUCUUCCCUUGGACCUAGAGUCCACUGAAGGAACGUUUAAGACUAAGACGUUGAUAGGCUGGGUGUGUAAGCGUAGCGAUACGUUGAGCUAACCAGUACUAAUGAUCCGUGAGGCUUAACCUU